GUUGUAUGGUUAAGUGACUAAGCGUACAUGGUGGAUGCCUUGGCAGUCAGAGGCGAUGAAGGACGUACUAACCUGCGAUAAGCUGUGAGAAGUCGGUAAGAGACGCUAUUACUCACAGAUUUCCGAAUGGGGAAACCCACCCGAGAUAACUCGGGUAUCUGUUACUGAAUACAUAGGUAACAGAGGCGAACCGGGAGAACUGAAACAUCUAAGUACCCCGAGGAAAAGAAAUCAACCGAGAUUCCCUCAGUAGCGGCGAGCGAACGG
rnacentral:rRNA from 1 species